rnacentral:lncRNA from 1 species
GGAAAAUAAUGAUAUGCAGAAAAUUGAAGAAGACUUAAAAAACAAGAAAUAGACCACGCUUGUAGUUGUAACAAGAGUGCUCGCCUGGUUACACUCUAGAAUAUAGCAAAAGAAAAGAUCAAGAAGAAUAAGAAGAACAAGAAAAAGAACAAUAAGUUGUAGUAAUAGUAGCAUCAGUAUUAGCAACAGUAGCACUAAUAGCAGCAAUAGCAAUAUUAACAGUAAUAG